GAUGAACGCUGGCGGCGUGCCUAAUACAUGCAAGUCGAGCGAAUGGAUUAAGAGCUUGCUCUUAUGAAGUUAGCGGCGGACGGGUGAGUAACACGUGGGUAACCUGCCCAUAAGACUGGGAUAACUCCGGGAAACCGGGGCUAAUACCGGAUAACAUUUUGAACCGCAUGGUUCGAAAUUGAAAGGCGGCUUCGGCUGUCACUUAUGGAUGGACCCGCGUCGCAUUAGCUAGUUGGUGAGGUAACGGCUCGCCAAGGCAACGAUGCGUAGCCGACCUGCGAGGGUGAUCGGCCACACUGGAACUGAGACACGGCCCAGACUCCUACGGGAGGCAGCAGUAGGGAAUCUUCCGAAAUGGACGAAAGUCUGACGGAGCAACGCCGCGUGAGUGAUGAAGGCUUUCGGGUCGUAAAACUCUGUUGUUAGGGAAGAACAAGUGCUAGUUGAAUAAGCUGGCACCUUGACGGUACCUAACCAGAAAGCCACGGCUAACUACGUGCCAGCCGCCGCAGUAA
rnacentral:rRNA from 1 species